UACGUAGGGUGCAAGCGUUGUCCGGAAUUAUUGGGCGUAAAGAGCUCGUAGGCGGUCUGUCGCGUCGGAUGUGAAAAUCCAGGGCUCAACCCUGGACCUGCAUUCGAUACGGGCAGACUAGAGUUCGGUAGGGGAGACUGGAAUUCCUGGUGUAGCGGUGAAAUGCGCAGAUAUCAGGAGGAACACCGGCGGCGAAGGCGGGUCUCUGGGCCGAUACUGACGCUGAGGAGCGAAAGCGUGGGGAGCGAACAGG
rnacentral:rRNA from 1 species